CUCUGAGACCAGACCAGCAGAAACCAGCUGAGCUUCCUGGAAGAGAUUUAGACCAAUUAGACCCACGGAGUCAAUUGGAAGAUACACUAUCCUGUCUAUUGAGCUGCCUGCAGGCAAUGCAGUGUGUUCCAGUUUCCUGCUUUUGCAAUUGCUGCAGCACCCCAAAGAGUAGGCUGGUUACUCAGAGAAGAAGAAGAGCAGGUUGUUACAGAGCAGAUCUGGCAACUCUCUCACUUUACCACUCUGUGAGAAGGACUCUGCUAGCAAAAAGUCAUCAUUAGAUGGAGCUCCUCUUCUGUUGAGAACAACCCUGAGGGGCCACAGGAGAGUCUCACACCCAAGGAAACUUGAGAAGCACCCCAUCAGGGUGUCUACAAGCAUCUGAAAAGUACUGGAGAUAAAAUGAUGAUCCCACUGCCAGGUCAAACGUCAUGGAGAAGUUGGCAUCUUAGAGGAUAUGGAGAUGCAGAGAGCAAAGCUCUACCCUUCACUAACCAUGAAGAAGCUGAGGGGGCAAGGGAAAUUCAGAGGGGUAAAGGAAUAGAAUAAUGAUAUUCUGUGUCUCCCAUUCUACUAGAGAUGGCACACACAUUUGUUUAAUUGAUGCAUUGUUGCUUUUAUAUGUGGGCACUUGCCUAGGCAGUCACUGAUGGGCACUUUGGUUCACACUACCCAGAGUUUUCACUCAACCAAGGAAACAGGCUACCUGGAGGCUAUAGAAAGUCUAGAGGUACCAGGUGGCUGAGGCUCAAUGCAGCCGUGGAUACAAUCUUUUCACUACCCUGGACUGCGUGGCUCUGGAAAGGUCAGGUAGAAUCGGUGAGCAUUUGUUUGCCUCUUCAGUGAAACAUCAGAUGCUUUUGUCUCAGCGGGUACUGUGUCUCACUCUGGAACAGACAUUUGCAAAUCAUCUCACUUUGUUAGUCUAGAAGGAAAAUCACAGAUAAGGUGCCCAUAGGAAUACUUGUAAAAGACCUCUUUGGCCAAGCAUGAUGGCUCAUACCUGUAAUCCCAGUUCCUUGGUGAGUGAGGCAAGGGGAUUACCUAGAGUUCAAGGUCAGCCUGGGCUACAGGGUAAAUUCUAAGCCAAUCUGGACUGUGGGGUAGGACCCUGUUUCAAAAUAACAACAGACUACUCUGACCCCUUACCUAUGAGUUAAAUGGAAAACUGAAAAGACAGUAGACUGUAAUAAAAUAUGUGUUUUAAUAUGUAGACAACUGUUCACCAUGUCUUCUGUUUUCAAUGUGCUAGUGCUUUGAACAACUGGAGACCUGCUGACCCUGGAGGGAUGACCCUUCACUGAGUCAAUCAAUUUCUGGACCUAGGAAACCAGUUGCUAAGGAGCCAAGCAAGCUUUUUGUAUCCAAAGCACUCACAUUCCGACCAUUCCUGAGCCACUGUGCAUCUAGUCCUCACCAAACAAGACCAAGGAUCAUUCAGCUGGUGACAGUUUCAUGCCCCAGAGCCUGUCAACAGAGUCCACACUAGCAGAUCCUGAACCUGUGCAUCUUGCCUUUCCUGUUUCUCUCCACAGAAACCAUAGUGAAGGCUGAAGCCCCAAGUCCCUUCCCUCCGUUUCAUGAAUUAGCCUAGUGACAUUGUGCCAACCCUCCUUCUAUAGAUUACAAUAACAAAGGCUCUUUCAGGUAGUCAUGUGAUCUGGUAUCCUCUCUAUAAUCACCAAUUUUCUCAUACUUUUUUUCAUAUUCAUUUAUUUAUUUGUAUUCGUGUGUGUGUGUGUGUGUG